GGCCUCGUGGCGGAAUGACCACGCGGAGGACUGCAAAUCCUCAUAUCCUUGGUUCGACUCCAGGGCGAGGCCUCCA
rnacentral:tRNA from 1 species